CCCUUAGAUGUCCUGGGCCGCACGCGCGUUACACUGAUGCAUUCAACGAGCUUAUAACCUUGGCCGAGAGGCCUGGGCAAUCUUGUUAACGUGCAUCGUGAUAGGGAUAGAUUAUUGAAAUUAUUAAUCUUGAACGAGGAAUUCCUAGUAAACGCAGAUCAUCAAUCUGCAUUGAUUACGUCCCUGCCCUUUGUACACACCGCCCGUCGCACCUACCGAUUGGAUGGUCCGGUGAAUUAUUCGGACUGCAACGCGCUCAGUUCCUGGAUGCGAUUGCGGAAAGUUUUGUGAACCUUACCACUUAGAGGAAGGAGAAGUCGUAACA
rnacentral:rRNA from 1 species